rnacentral:misc_RNA from 1 species
AUCGAGUUCGAAUUCUACUGUCCCUUAACAUAUCAAAGUUAAAUAGAUGCAGCUUCAGAGCAUCCCUCAUCCGAUUAGCCACUUUGUUUACAAAGCUCAAAGGCGGCAUUUCUGCCGCCUCGAUGAGCUCUGCAAAAUUCUCGUGAUCGCUCUUGUUUUGAGCAGAAAAGUUAGAUACCUGAUAAGUCUCUGAGGUGCUAGUGUUCAGUUUUUCUUCAGAGAUAUCAGCCAAUGACUUUCUUUUCACGCACUUCACGUGAUCUCCUGCUACAUAAACUUUGAAAAUGACUCCACCGUGGUUCACGAAUUCUUGUAGCACAAUUGGCGGGUUCAAUUUUGUUAAACCGUUUUGGUUUAGGA